rnacentral:rRNA from 1 species
AACGAACGCUGGCGGCAGGCCUAACACAUGCAAGUCGAACGCCGUAGCAAUACGGAGUGGCAGACGGGUGAGUAACACGUGGGAACGUACCCUUCGGUUCGGAAUAACUCAGGGAAACUUGAGCUAAAACCGGAUACGUCCGAGAGGAGAAAGAUUCAUCGCCGAGGGAUCGGCCCGCGUCUGAUUAGCUUGUUGGUGAGGUAACGGCUCACCAAGGCGACGAUCAGUAGCUGGUCGAGAGGAUGAUCAGCCACAUUGGGACUGAGACACGGCCCAAACUCCUACGGGAGGCAGCAGUGGGGAAUAUUGGACAAUGGGCGCAAGCCUGAUCCAGCCAUGCCGCGUGAGUGAUGAAGGCCCUAGGGUUGUAAGCUCUUUUACCCGGGAAGAUAAUGACUGUACCGGGAGAAUAAGCCCCGGCUAACUUCGUGCCA